UUUACCUGUCAGAACAGACAUUCCUAACCAAGGUGUCCCGUCCAUCACUCUUCAACACGCUGUCAGCUCCCGGUCAGAAAGACGCAUUUAGUUCAGUGUCCAUGAGAUGAUAUUCAGAAAGGAUUUUUUUAUUGAAUGAUUUUAGUUGCCUCUGCAGUGAAAUCUUUGCGUAAAGUCCGUCAUGUCUCCAUAUGAACCAGUCAAAGGUGUUUAUAUAUAUAUAUAUAUAUAUAUAUAGAUGUGUGCACGUAAAUUUUGCCUUUUGCCCCCCCAGAGGUAGUCCUGGCCCCCCGUUAGCCCCCCCAACUUUAAAAGUCUGGCUCCGCCACUGUCUAGCACCACUAAAGUUUGACUGGAAUCUUGUCAAAUUCUCAGAUAUGAUCCAGAAUCCAAGACUUCCUGCAGCCUGUCCACAGCGGUUCUGUGUUCAGUCACAUUAGGUCAAACCCAUCAACCGCUCAGUCUCUGGGAUUUCAUACCUUCAUUUUGGUGUGGUUGUCAACCAGUGGAAAGAGUUUUACUGAAUCAUAUCUGACAAUUCAGCAAGUGCAAACUUGUAAGUUCAAUUCCAGCUUUCUCCAACGCCACGUCAAUGUUCCUUUGGGCCCAAGCCACGUGUUUCCUAACUUUUUACAUCUCCAGACGGUUUCUGUUCUCUGACCAUGAAGACCAGACCACUGGCAGGCCAGUGAGUGGA